CCCUUAGAUGUUCUGGGCCGCACGCGCGCUACACUGAUGCAUUCAACAAGCCUAGCCUUGACCGAGAGGUCCGGGUAAUCUUUGAAACUGCAUCGUGAUGGGACUAGAUUAUUGCAAUUAUUAAUCUUCAACGAGGAAUGCCUAGUAAGCGUGAUUCAUCAAAUCGCGUUGAUUACGUCCCUGCCCUUUGUACACACCGCCCGUCGCUCCUACCGAUUGAAUGUGUUGGUGAGGAGCUCGGAUUGGCAGCAGUUGGUGGUUCGCCACCGGCUAUUGCUGAGAAGUCCUCCAAACCGCCCCAUUUAGAGGAAGGAGAAGUCGUAACA
rnacentral:rRNA from 1 species